CACAACUCCCAUCCUUAGGGAUUCACCAUCCAGUAGAGGAGAAAGACGUCGAGACAGAAGACAGAAGGGAAAGGAAAAGCUCAAUGCUGUGCCUUCAACUUAGCUUCUCCAUUUUUUGGAGAAGGGUUAAUAGGGGAAGCAGAGAGAGAGAGAUGAGAGACCAAAGUUUCUAGGGCCUUUAUCUCCAGAGCAGAGGGUCUGAAACCUUAGUGAGCAAAAACUGAUCCGGAAGACUUGUUGGAGGCAUACCUUCCAGUUCAGCGAGCCAUUUCAGCAGAUUGGAGAUCCCCUGCCUGCAGCACGUGCUGAUCUCCAAGGGUGAGGCUGGAUGAAGCCAGGGGCUAUGGAAAGGGAGACUGUUUCAGAGGACUUGACACCAUCUUCAGUAAUUUCUCUGGUUCUUGGCAGCUCCAUUUGGCUGCGUCCCUACCCUGCAUAACCCUCCCAGCUAGUCUACUCCAGGGCAGCAUCCAGCUGGUGACCUGAGAGGGCAGUGGCGCACCAGUCUCCAUGAAGGUUGAGCUCCGAUGGCCAACAGCCAUUUCCACCUUGUGGUCUACAACUCUUCAUCCCGACUGCAUGGAGGUUGGUCUCUCUCUUCAGCUGGAUUUAGGCCACCAUCUGAGCCCCCGGGGUACGUUUUGUCUGACCCUGGCGCCAUUCGAACGGUUCUUCUACAGCAUCAGUUCUCUUUCCUGCCACCAUGUGAAGAAGGACAUGUUUGCUUCCCCUUCUGCCAUGAAUGGACAGGGUCCUGCUGUGUUGCCCAGGCUGGCCUUGAACUCCUGGCUUCAAACAGUCUUCCCACUUGGGCUCCCAAAGUGCUGGGAUUAAAGGGGCGAGUUACAGCACCAGGACCUGAAAUGCAUCAUGUGUCAUUCUCACAGCUGUUAGGACUUCAAUGAUGUUAUAAGGAAGUUGGGGCUCAGAGAAGCUACAGAACUUACCCAAGGACACACAGCCAUCACGAAAAACAUGGCCAGCAAAGCAGGUGAGGCAAAGAUCAGGAAGGACAUUAAACGCCAAACUAAGGAGCGGAACUGAAUGAGCAGUGAAGGGGAACAAUGGCUUCAGCAGGUCCACUGGGCUCCUCUUUUCUGUCAGCCUCCCCCUACCCCUCACCUCUGUACUACUCAUGUUACUAUCUACGUCUCUUCACCAAUGUCAUUGUGGAAAUAAAAGCUUAUCUGUA
rnacentral:lncRNA from 1 species